rnacentral:rRNA from 1 species
GUCAAGCGAAUAAGCGUAUAUGGUGGAUGCCUUGGCAGUUAGAGGCGAUGAAGGACGUUGUAGUCUGCGAUAAGCCUGGGGAAGGUGACAAACAACCGUUAUAUCCCAGGAUUUCCGAAUGGGGAAACCCGACCUUAGGGUCAUCGUGCACUGAAUACAUAGGUGUACGAAGCUAACCCGGUGAACUGAACCAUCUAAGUAACCGGAGGAAAAGAAAUCAACCGAGAUUUCCUAAGUAGCGGCGAGCGAACGGGAAACAGCCUGCAAGUGAUAGAUGACGUAUUAGUGGAAUAGUCUGGGAAGACUAACGAUAGAGGGUGAUAGUCCCGUACACGAAAGCGCAUAGUGAAUGAAUCUGAGUAGGUCGGGACACGUGAUAUCCUGAUUGAAUAUGGGGGGACCAUCCUCCAAGGCUAAAUACUCUCUACCGACCGAUAGUGAACCAGUACCGUGAGGGAAAGGC